rnacentral:tRNA from 1 species
AAGGUUUUAGCUUAAUAAAAGUGUUUGAUUUGCAGUCAAGAGAUGUGAAGUAGAAAUUUGCAGGCCUUA